rnacentral:rRNA from 1 species
CGAGGAGGUAGGGCUUACGCUCGCGUUUGUCUGUUAUAUCUUGGUGGACGAGUUGUCGCGGUUGGGACUGAGGUGCCUACAACGUGCUUUUGAGUGAGUUUGUGUCUCCGUGUGCGCCGUGUGCGGAUAGCUUGCUAUGUAUGUGUGGUUGUGUGUGGAUUGAUGCGGGCUUUAACUUGUUGCCGUUCGGGACGUUGGCGAAAUGGAGCGAUCCGACCCGUCUUGAAACACGGACCAAGGAGUCUAACAUGUGUGCAAGUGUUAGGGUGUGGAAACCCCAGCGCGAAAUGAAAGUGAAGGGCAGCGCAAGUUGUCUGAGGUAGGAAACGUUGCGGACUUCGGUCUGCGGCGUGGCACUAUCGACCGAUCAUGAACCUUCGUGGUGAAAGAUUUGAGUUUGAGCACAUAUGUUGGUACCCGAAAGAUGGUGAACUAUGCCUGAGUAGGGUGAAGCCAGGGGAAACUCUGGUGGAAGCUCGUAGCGAUUCUGACGUGCAAAUCGAUCGUCAAACUUGGGUAUAGGGGCGAAAGACUAAUCGAACCAUCUAGUAGCUGGUUCCCUCCGAAAUUUCCCUCAGGAUAGCAGCAACUUAUUUACGAUAGUUUUAUGAGGUAAAGCGAAUGAUUAGAGGAUUCGGGGAAGAAACUUCCUCGACCUAUUCUCAAACUUUAAAUCUGUAAGACCUGCAGGUUUCUUAAU